AAACUACUCCCUCCGUCCGGAAAUACUUGUCGCAUAAAUUGAUAAAAAUGGAUGUACCUAGAACUAAAAUACAUCUAGAUACAUCCAUUUUGAUGACAAGUAUUUCCGGACGGAGGGAGUAUUUG
rnacentral:pre_miRNA from 1 species